AGAAACUUAGGAUAUGUUAAACCAGCAGCCUUCAAAGCUGCUAAAAAGAGAAUACCUCUUAGUUUCU
rnacentral:tRNA from 1 species